AGCGAACGCUGGCGGCAGGCCUAACACAUGCAAGUCGAACGAACCUUUCGGGGUUAGUGGCGGACGGGUGAGUAACACGUGGGAACGUGCCUUUAGGUUCGGAAUAACUCAGGGAAACUUGUGCUAAUACCGAAUGUGCCCUUCGGGGGAAAGAUUAAUCGCCUUUAGAGCGGCCCGCGUCUGAUUAGCUAGUUGGUUGAGGUAAUGGCUCACCAAGGCGACGAUCAGUAGCUGGUCUGAGAGGAUGAUCAGCCACAUUGGGACUGAGACACGGCCCAAACGACAGCGGGACGCGGGGAGGGGGAGUGUUGCACGAUGGGGAAAGGCGUGAACAAGCCGUACCGGGUGAAUGAAAAAGGCCUAAGAGGUGGAAAAUGCUCCGACGGGGGCGGCAAAAGCAGGGGCGGGGAGAAGAACGCGGGGCUAACUCCGGG
rnacentral:rRNA from 1 species